GUCAUCAUGCCUGAUCCAAUUCUUUUUGUUUAGAGGAAAACGCUAUCCUGUAUCUUCUUUUCCUUUGGCGCUAACCACAAUGCUGCACUGGAACUCGGGGUUUUGGACUCACCCGCUCCCCGAAAUUCAGCACACGCCUCUUUCUUCCCUUCUCUGCCUAGCUGUGGUCCAGAAAGUGCAAGGAACCUGCCCCAGGUGCCACAGCCAGGGAGGGGGCAGGGCAGGACCUCCACCCUGGGGCUCCCAACCGAGGGCCAGGACCUGCCCAGGGACCCCCCCCCCGCCCGCCACCUCCACGUCGGAUUCUGGAGAGCCCCAGGGCUGCGGGCCUGGACUCCAGACUCCGUGGACACUCAGUACCUCCCGCACGCAGCGCCUGGAGCAGAAGCAAGAGUGUGUGAGUCUAGCGGGCCUGGCGUGAUCGCACCAGCCACGAGCCCCGGGUCAGGCCACCUCAGCCACCGUGGGCUUCCCGCGCUGUAAGAUGGGGAUAAACAGCAGCCCGUUGGGUUACCCUUGGCGGGGCUAGGAGGCUAAGCGCCCACCAGCCUGGGUUCCCCUCCCGGGCUAGGUGUGCGCAUGCGCCGUUUGUGAAACGGCAGGAAGGGCUCGGCCCAGCGGAGGCGUUUGUGAUCAAGCCUCCAGGCGGACCAGGAGGGACGCAGCACCCGGCGGCUGUGAAGAUAUCCGCUGCUGCCGACAGAGCUGUGGGGUCAUGCAGACGUUGGACACAUUGGAUUUGGACCCCAUCCCCCAUUCAUUCAUUCAGGACACAUUGGCUUUGGGCCCCAUCCUCCAUUCACUCAUUCAUGCAUGCAUACAUACAUUCAUUCAUCGAACUGCAGUCACGGUGAAGGAGUGGUUAAUACUACAGGGUCCAGCAGCCCCAAGAGGUUCAAAGCUGGGCGCAGGCACUUUCUGGCUGUGUGACCUUGGGCAAUCACUUCACCGCUCUGGGCUUCUGCACCUUCCUCUGUAGAACGUGGAUAACAGCAGUCCUUCCCACAGCUUUGUGAAGACCUGAAGUAUAGAAAGUGCUUAGUCCCAUACCUGGUACACAGUCAUGCUCAAGAAGUGAUGGAAAUCCUAAUGGGCAGGACCUGUGAAGCCCUGAGGCUCCAAGAGGAAGAGGAAGCUGCUCCACAUCACAGCCUGGAUGUGGAAUUUGAAGGCUGGGAUUUGAAACCAAGUCUCCUGGGAGAUUUUUGUGUAUCAGUCACGUCCCAACACCUAAGACCCCGCAGGAGCUUAGCAACAAGAAGAAAGCACAGCCCAUGAACCCAGAGAAGUUGAACAAUUUGAUCAGAGCCUCGCAG